rnacentral:rRNA from 1 species
CAGUAGCCGCGGGAAUACGUAGGUGGCAAGCGUUGUCCGGAAUUAUUGGGCGUAAAGGGCUCGCAGGCGGUUUCUUAAGUCUGAUGUGAAAGCCCCCGGCUCAACCGGGGAGGGUCAUUGGAAACUGGGAAACUUGAGUGCAGAAGAGGAGAGUGGAAUUCCACGUGUAGCGGUGAAAUGCGUAGAGAUGUGGAGGAACACCAGUGGCGAAGGCGACUCUCUGGUCUGUAACUGACGCUGAGGAGCGAAGGCGUGGGGAGCGAACAGGAUUAGAUACCCCAGUAGUCCCUGUCUCUUAUAC